rnacentral:lncRNA from 1 species
GUGCUUUUGCAUGCAUUGCUAAGGCCUUUUUGCUAACGAGUCGAACCAAACGCCAUUGGCCGAUCCCCCUUGGCUAUGUCGAAGGACCCAUUGGCCAGCAAAACCCCUGCUGGGCGGCACUAAAGACCCUUCUUUUAAUGCAUAUUUAAAAAAGGGAAGGGAAGUCUUGAGAAGAGAGAGAGAGAGGGGAAAAAAAAAGGUCUGUCAAAAAUCAAUGGGAAAAGAGAAGAGACGUGC